rnacentral:rRNA from 1 species
AGAGUUUGAUCAUGGCUCAGAACGAACACUGGCGGCGUGGAUUAGGCAUGCAAGUCGAACGAGAAAGCUCUCUUCGGAGAGUAAGUACAGUGGCGAACGGGUGAGUAACGGGUGGAAAACCUGCCCUUCAAUGGGGGAUAACAGUUUUAACGAGCUGCUAAUACCGCAUACGACCUCUUUACUGCAUGGUAGAGAGAUGAAAGAUGGCCUCUAUUUAUAAGCUGUCGUUGAAGGAUGGUUCCGCCUCCCAUUAGCUAGUUGGUGGGGUAAUGGCCUACCAAGGCGACGAUGGGUAGCCGGCCUGAGAGGGUGUCCGGCCACACUGGGACUGAGAUACGGCCUAGACUCCUACGGGAGGCAGCAGUCGAGAAGCUUCCGCAAUGGGGGAAACCCUGACGGAGCGACGCCGCGUGAACGAAGAAGGUCCUUUGGAUUGUAAAGUUCUGUCAGAUUGGGAAGAAAACUGUACGGUUAAUACCCGUACAGCNGGACGG